AAACGCAAAGAUAAAAACGCAACGUAAGCGAUCCCGCUUACAGAGCCGGUAGGUAGCCCGGCCCCAUCGCAAGAUGGAAGUAACCUUCCCUCCUUCGGGUUGUCCGUUCUUUGUUCAUAACUU
rfam:Holdemania filiformis DSM 12042 genomic scaffold Scfld10, whole genome shotgun sequence.